UAUUUUUAGUCAGAAAUUGUGAAUGGGAUCCCAACUAGUAUACCAGAAUGCAGCCUGCGCAUGCGCGCUGCGCUUAUCCGCUUUUGGUUUACAAACAAUGCAUCUCAUUUCUGUGAUCGAAAAUAUAAAAAAAGAGAAACAAAAGCCGGAGCCAGCGACAUCGCUCGAAUUUAUUCAAUCUUGGCGACAAGACUGAGUGUUUGCAGAACCAUAGGAGUAUCGUUGGAAGAGACGAAGACAGGGUAAUGGCUUAAACACACGAAUUGUAUUUAGGAAGACGUGCCGGCCAAACUAUUGCAAGUUUGACUGUUCAGCAUAAUGUUAGAACAACAAACUCUUCACCUAUGCACGGUCAUCAGCCCCCGCCAGGUCCUGGCCUGUCAUUUGUGUCACAGGGAAGUACCACACCUGGUCAUGUGUCAGGAAUUGGAGAGAUAACAGCUUACUUAGAAGUAAAUUGAAGGCAGCCAACAAUUGGACGGUGGCGGUGGAUCAAACAUGGUGAAUUAAUUGUUUUGUUAUUACAAUAGAGGAUCCAAAGUAUUUGAUCAUAGGUCACUCUGAAACAGAAGAAUUUGUGAAAACCUUGUCUGGCAAAUAGCUAAAUAAACACUGGGCUCAGCAUUUUCCUGAUUUUUUUGUCACAAGUAAAGACUAUGAAAAGGAAUUAUUGACUCUUUUAGGUAUAAGCUACCAUAGUCAAUAUUGAGUGCGUGCUGCACACCACAUUUGUUUAUGUUCCAUUAACAAUGACAUCAAAGCACAAUGCUAUAUAUAGAUUAUGUAUUGUUUUCCAUUGUUUAUCAGUCUAUAAACAACCAUUUAUUGUAAUAGCCUUACAUAAACUGUCAUAAAGAUGAUAAAGUGCUGUUUAUCCAUAAAUAAAAAAUUGGUGGAAUUCAGAAAUAAUUUGAUCUGUCAAAUGUUGAAAGUUGGAAACAUUUAUUCAAAAUGUUAUCAAUUAUAGUUUUGUUUCAUGAAUAUAGAGUAUUAUGUUUUGUGUUCAGUAUGUUAUGGAUUUUGUGGUUUUGUUUUAAAAUGUUUUAAUAAAUAACAUGAAGAAAUAAGAA